CCCACAUUAUUCUGUCCCUAUGAGGUCUCACUGCUACUCCUUUAAGAGUAACCAAAACCAGAUCAGGGUUGUUUGCAGGUCCCAUUUUACAGAGUCUGAUCUCCUGUGCCUGGUUUCCAUUUCCUGUCACAGGACUCAGCAAACUUUGGGGGAGUUGUUGCCAGACCUGGGCUUGCUCCCGUAUAAAUUCCUGAAGACUCUUUUGCUGUUAAACCUAUCAGGCUUUCUAUCCAAGCAUUAGAGUCUGUGCUUUUCAAGGGUGGGAAUGAGAGACUGGUGAGAGCACUCUGGGAGCAGAGAACAUGGAGUCUGCUUGAAAACCCCCAGACUCACCAUGAGGGAGUGUGUCUGCUGGUGAGUGUUCUGCUAAGAUCUGGACUAAUAACACCUGAGAUCAUCCUGAGCCUCCUCCCCUGGGUGAAUUCCCCAACAGAAAACAGCCAAGUCACCAGCACAGCUUUCCUUGCCCAGGUCCUAGCACAAUGGGAAUCUGGUCUGUGACUGGGACUAUGAGGCAGUACUGGAAUACAAAUAAUCACAUGCUGAUCUACAGAAAUACUUUUGUACCCUGGCCAUCCCCACUGGCUUAAGAGAUUAGUCACUGAAAAUGGAAGUAAGUGACCUUGACAUCUGCAGUUUAACUCAGUCCCUUCAUCUCCUGCACUGAGUGUUCUUUCUGCUCAGUAUAUGCUGUCUGAAUGCACAGGAGAACCGUGAUGGAUGGUGACAAAGGAGGAAUCAUUUUCAUUUGCCCCUAAAUGUCACAGAGUUGAGAAGCUUUGACCCAGCUGUGAAACUUAUUGGCCCACCCCGACCAUUUCACCAGUAGCUGCUUUUUUCUCCCUUUUCCUUUCUCCGUUAGAACUUUUUCAAUCCUAAAUUCUCACAGAGGUGGUGAAGGACUCCAUUUUUCCUCUCGGUUUCCAUGAUUUCUAAAACAUGCAUUCUUGGAACAAAAUGGCCUGUUCCAUGUGGUGCUGGGACUUCUGGGGGUGAUGCUGCAUUUUGAUGUGUAGAGGGCGAUGGGGGAGCUCUUAGAGGGGUCACAGGACCCUCUUCUGUAUGGGUCAUCUCGCCCAGAGCUCCCUUCCCCCCGAUUGGUCAAAUCCACUCUUGGGAAGGUCCUCUGUCGCUCAAACCCAUCUUGAUUGGCAGGGGGUUAUGGAGGCGUUCUUAGAGGAGUCAUAUGACCCUCUUCCUGCCUGAUCACUCCACCCUGGAACACCCCCAGAUUGGUCAAAUCUCCUCUCGGGGGGGGGGGGGGGGUGUGUGUGAGAAACCCAUCUUGAUUGGUAGAAGGUGGUCGGAGGAGUUCUUAGAGGGGUCACAUGACACCCUUUACUUCUAGUCGUGUGUCCGUCUUGACCCUGAAAAUAGUAUCCCUGGGUCAGAGAUGUCAGGUUGGAACUGGCCAAGUCACUGGGUAGAAUGUGCAUCUAGGGCUGCAUUUGGUGAAGAGAACCCCCACUUGCUGCAGUGCAGUGGGAAUCCACAUGAAGUUUCCUUAGGAUCAUUUUCCUAGCCAACAAAGGAGGAAUUGUGAGCUGUGUCAGAUCAGCUAGUCAAGUGGGAAGGAGCUGGUACAGUCCAGAAAGUGAAUCAGUCCUGUCUGGGAAAUCAGACCCAUGUUGAUAAACAGUGUGAUUGGAGGUUUUUCCCUGGGAGAGUGAGUAUUCAGUUAAUCUCUUUCCUGCUUAGCCAGCAUGAACACAGAGCUAUACAUAGAAAUGCAAAGGAGUGAAGUGAUCUACCUGCAAAAUACAUGGAUUCCAGUGAUAGCCCUGGUUGGGGAGAGCUCUUUCUGGGGCCAGUGAUACCAUCCCCUAGAGUCUGUGCUGGCUGGAGGGGAUUAUGGAUAACAAGGACCACUGCCAUUGUCCAGACAGGUGCUCAGACACCAUGAUGAUACAUGCAGUGUAAACCCCAGACAGGCAGAUUAAAUAAACAGAAAUUGUGGCUCA